rnacentral:rRNA from 1 species
CCUACGGGAGGCAGCAGUGGGGAAUUUUGGACAAUGGGGGCAACCCUGAUCCAGCAAUGCCGCGUGAGUGAAGAAGGCCUUCGGGUUGUAAAGCUCUUUUGUCAGGGAAGAAAUCCCUUGGGAUAAUACCUCGGGGGGAUGACGGUACCUGAAGAAUAAGCACCGGCUAACUACGUGCCAGCAGCCGCGGUAAUACGUAGGGUGCGAGCGUUAAUCGGAAUUACUGGGCGUAAAGCGUGCGCAGGCGGUUGUGCAAGACAGAGGUGAAAUCCCCGGGCUUAACCUGGGAACUGCCUUUGUGACUGCAUGGCUAGAGUGUGUCAGAGGGGGAUAGAAUUCCACGUGUAGCAGUGAAAUGCGUAGAUAUGUGGAGGAAUACCGAUGGCGAAGGCAGCCCCCUGGGAUAACACUGACGCUCAUGCACGAAAGCGUGGGGAGCAAACAGGAUUAGAUACCCUGGUAGUCCACGCCCUAAACGAUGUCAACUAGUUNUCGGGUCUUAAUUGACUUGGUAACGCAGCUAACGCGUGAGUUGACCGCCUGGGGAGGUACGGUCGUCGAGAGUUAAACGUUACUAAUUAGAGUUAGNGGCGNGAGACGNGCGACGGACGACGACGAGGGAGGAGG